GGGGAAUAUUGGACAAUGGGCGAAAGCCUGACGCAGCGACGCCGCGUGGGGGAAGAAGGCUUUCGGGUUGUAAACCCCUUUCAGGAAGGACGAAGCCACUCGGGUUAAUAGCCCAGAGGGUGACGGUACUUCCAGAAGAAGCCCCGGCUAACUACGUGCCAGCAGCCGCGGUAAUACGUAGGGCGCGAGCGUUGUCCGGAUUUAUUGGGCGUAAAGAGCUCGUAGGCGGCUUGUCGCGUCGUCCGUGAAAACUUGGGGCUCAACUCCAAGCUUGCGGUCGAUACGGGCAGGCUCGAGUUCGGUAGGGGAGACUGGAAUUCCUGGUGUAGCGGUGAAAUGCGCAGAUAUCAGGAGGAACACCGGUGACGAAGGCGGGUCUCUGGGCCGAUACUGACGCUGAGGAGCGAAAGCGUGGGGAGCGAAC
rnacentral:rRNA from 1 species